rnacentral:lncRNA from 1 species
CAGGUAGAAGAGGCCCGUGGGUUUCUUGCUGAUGAGAUGGAUGCAGCCGACAUUGUCUGUGUAGCCGAUGUUGUGCCACGUGAUCCCCUCGCCCUGAUAUUCCUCCUGCAGGGGUGGCGCGGGGUCGAGAUCGACAGACGCUAUGCUGUACAGGCUAGUCUGGACCUCCUGGCCUCAAGUGAUCCUCCUGCCUCGGUCUCCCGAGUAGCUGAGAUUACAGGAGGAAACGUAGACAUGGCGUGGCAUUCAGAGAUUCCUGGGAAAACAUUCUCCUACCUCUCAUCCUUCUCCUGAGACACCAGGCGAGACUUUUCAAGCAGAUAUUUCUCGACGACAGCUCUGUCAUUAAGAGAAAAACAGAAAGAAUAAAACAUUACAUUUUAGUAUUGUGUUAA